UACAGAGGGUGCAAGCGUUAAUCGGAAUUACUGGGCGUAAAGCGUGCGUAGACGGUUACAUAAGUCAGAUGUGAAAGCCCCGGGCUCAACCUGGGAAUUGCAUUUGAGACUGUGUAGCUAGGGUGCGGAAGAGGGAAGCGGAAUUUCCGGUGUAGCGGUGAAAUGCGUAGAUAUCGGAAGGAACACCAGUGGCGAAGGCGGCUCUCUGGGGCGGUACUGACGCUGAGACGCGAAAGCGUGGGGAGCGAACAGG
rnacentral:rRNA from 1 species